GAAUGGAAACUCUCAGUGACUUCUGAGAUGACUUUGCAAACUCUGGCCAAACUGUUUCUGAAAAGAGUGUAUAAGGAUCCCAGUUUGAUUUGGAGUUUUCCCAGCAUGGUCUUAACUGCAGAGUACUUGAUUCUCUUGAAAUAGGCUGUGAGUUUCACACUCUGAGACUAAAUCCCAUCAGCAUCGUCUGGGUCCUGGGGAGAGACGUUGAUUUAAAAGUAGCUGAAAUAAAGCACAGAAACAAACUGUUUUUAUUGCUUUAAGCUGAGCCAGAAAUGACACCCUCACGUGUUCCCCUGGGAAAUGGGGGAUCCAGAACUCUCUGCAGUCAGGAAAUCAGGAAUGUGUGGAACUGCUGCGAAUCCCUCCCAAUUACUGAGGACUUUGUGAGCUGCAGACAAUCGAGCACGACAAACCAACAGAUCGCCUUUCUUCCAACUGGGUUGUCCUUUUGUUUCCAGAAAAUGGUGUGAAGUGUAAUUUUUUUUUUUUUUUUUUUUGCCACCUUGUUUAUUUAAGCGUGUUUGUCAAAACCUACCGCAGAACGGUUAUUCCAGCUUGAAGAAAUCCUUCCGGGUCAGAAAGCCCUUUGGAUGGCUUGGAUCCAACUGCUCUCCUUCCCAUUCCUCCCUUUUAAGUUCUGAGAUUCUGUCAAAGUCUGGGCUGAAUUCCUGAGGCCAGUUGGAGUGUAGCUGUUCUUUUGUUCCCCGUUGCCGACCACAGAAAGCGACAUUCACCAGUUUUUGUAGUCAAUGGCUUUAAAACCCCUAUGUCUCAUUGCUUCCUUUGAAUGACCAGAUGCAAAGCGGUGUAUUAAACCUAGGAAUGACUUUACAGA